rnacentral:rRNA from 1 species
AAAUUAAUAAAAACGGCCCUAAAGCGUGAGUAAAUUAUAUAAAAUAAAUAGAAAUAAAAAUUCACUCGACUGAUAUACGUAUAUGUUAAGCGGUAAACCAGAAACGAAAGAUAUUCUAACAAAUAACACUACUUGAACCCGGGAAGAUUUGAAACAAACUAGGUUUAGAUACCCUAUUAUGUUUAGCCCUAAACUUUGGAACACCCCGCUUGAGUACUACGAGCCACAGUUUAAAACUCAAAGGACUUGGCGGUGCUCUACACCCCCCUAGAGGAGCCUGUUUUAUAAUUGAUACUCCCCGUUAAACCUCACCACUUAUUGCCAAUACCGUUUAUAUACCGCCGUCGUCAGCUCCCCAUUUAAAUGAAAAAUAGCAGGCAUAAUGAUAAACAUAAAAACGUCAGGUCAAGGUGUAUCGAAUUAAGUGGAAAGAAAUGGGCUACAUUUUCUAAACUAGAAAAUACGAAAAAUUUUAUGAAAAACUAUUUAAAGGUGGAUGCCGCAAGAAAAAGAAAAUAGACUGUUUUUUUUAAAUAGCGCCUUGAAAGG